rnacentral:rRNA from 1 species
ACUCCUACGGGAGGCAGCAGUAGGGAAUCUUCCACAAUGGACGAAAGUCUGAUGGAGCAACGCCGCGUGAGUGAAGAAGGGUUUCGGCUCGUAAAAACUCUGUUGUUAAAAGAAAGAACAUAUCUGAGAGUAACUGUUCAGGUAUUGACGGUAUUUAACCAGAAAGCCACGGCUAACUACGUGCCAGCAGCCGCGGUAAUACGUAGGUGGCAAGCGUUGUCCGGAUUUAUUGGGGCGUAAAGCGAGCGCAGGCGGUUUUUAAGUCUGAUGUGAAAGCCUUCGGCUCAACCGAAGAAGUGCAUCGGAAACUGGGAAACUUGAGUGCAGAAGAGGACAGUGGAACUCCAUGUGUAGCGGUGAAAUGCGUAGAUAUAUGGAAGAACACCAGUGGCGAAGGCGGCUGUCUGGUCUGUAACUGACGCUGAGGCUCGAAAGUAUAGGGUAGCAAACAGGAUUAGAUACCCUGGUAGGAUAGCG